rnacentral:tRNA from 1 species
GCCCCUGUAGCGCAAUGGAUAGCGCGUUGGACCUCUAAUCCAAAGGUCGUGCGUUCGAAUCCCACCUGGGGUG